GGCCUAGACCACUAAGGGCCGUGACGUGGUGCCGCUGAGCUUGGACCCCGACCAGAAGAUAGAGAUUGAAACGAUGAGGAAAACGAAGUGCCUAAUCCCCGCUGGACGCUAACUGCAGGGCAAGCUCCCCAGUGUUGUAGUUGUGUUUCGGAGGCCGAGAACCGCUAUCGGGCUUCCUCGGACUCUGGCCCUGGAGGGGGGAAACGGCGAGGGAGAAGGCGAAACGAGUCUCCAGUGUGUUCUUGGGGCCUGGUGCGAGGCCCAGAGAAUUCUCUGCAGGCCUUUGCCCGGGCACUGAUUAAGGCUGCGAAGAGACGCACCGGGCUGCGGGCUUAGUAGCUUCAGGCUUCUGAAGUCAGAGGGAGGGCUGAGAGCUUACACUUCUGGAGCUCCCCGGGAGACGGCAACUACCCAACCGUGUGGGAACAUGGAGGAGACAUAUUUCCACCUAUUUCUCUCCAUAAGUAUAAAAGACCAUAAAAGACCAUCUAGGGACUUCAGAACCCAAAUAAUGACACAAUGUUAAUUUGCAGGUUCUCCCUCUGCCUGCCACCCCACCCAGCAAGGAGGAGAGGAAGUGUUGAGAAGGGAAGAGAUGAGUCCUGGCCCUGUCACUUCUUAGGGGUGUGCUUUUGAACAACCUGCUCACCAUGUAUGAACUUCACUCUUCUUGUUUAUAAAAUGAGGACAAUGACACCUGCAAGACUGUGAGGUUUAAAAACAAAAUCUGUGUUGAGAGGUAACUUGCCUCUUUUACUUACCAAUGAUUUCCUCAAUGCCUGGUGACUGGGGCUGGUUCAUACUAGACGAUCAAUAAAUGCUCCUUGAAUGAAUAGGUGGAUGAAAGAAAUGUCUGGCAUCUAUCACAGGUGCUGGCACUGAUAAGUGCUUGAUAAAUAGGCUGGCUGACUGUGAGUGAUGCUGACGGGCAAAGGACAGAGACACCAGGAAGGAGAACAGGACACGAAAGAUAACUGUCUCAGCCCUUGGGGAGUUUCUGACCCAGGAGGAUGGGAACAUCAAUUAUCAAUAGUUACAGAUCAUUAAAUAAUUGCAAGUGUGAGGCGCACUAUAAAGAGGAGGCUCAGAGUCCCCGCAUGCUCACACUCACACCUGGCCACAGACAGGUGACACCCCUGGCUUGCCCAGGCCAGCGGGUCUGCAAUGAGGCCAAGGACCUG
rnacentral:lncRNA from 1 species